AAGCUUUUGAACAUGUGUGAAUCAUAUAUGGCCUAACCAUUGAAGGAAAAUUAAGUUACACGUAAUAAUCCAUAAUCAAGUUUUAAUAGCCAUCUUCCAACAGGACCUGAACUUGGGUCAGUUUGAGUAGGAUUUGUUAAAAAUUUCAGCCAACCCAAUGUCUCAGCUUGUACAAUUUCCAAACCAAAGCCCUCCAACAACUAUUGUGAAAGGAAGAAAUUCCAAUAAAUCAGGAUCAUUCAGUGCCUGUUGGUCAUUGUUUCUGGUGAAGACCUAAGCAAUCUCCUCUAUCAAUACUCUUUGUUAGUCUAAGAUCAGUCCAU
rnacentral:misc_RNA from 1 species